CCACUGCUGCAGAGUUCCAGAAUAGGACGAAACGGCCGUCCAGUGC
rnacentral:hammerhead_ribozyme from 1 species